AUUGAACGCUGGCGGAAUGCUUUACACAUGCAAGUCGAACGGCAGCACGGGGGCAACCCUGGUGGCGAGUGGCGAACGGGUGAGUAAUACAUCGGAACGUGCCCAGUCGUGGGGGAUAACGUAGCGAAAGCUACGCUAAUACCGCAUACGAACUCUGGUUGAAAGCGGGGGAUCGCAAGACCUCGCGCGAUUGGAGCGGCCGAUGGCAGAUUAGGUAGUUGGUGGGGUAAAGGCCUACCAAGCCGACGAUCUGUAGCUGGUCUGAGAGGACGACCAGCCACACUGGGACUGAGACACGGCCCAGACUCCUACGGGAGGCAGCAGUGGGGAAUUUUGGACAAUGGGCGCAAGCCUGAUUCAGCCAUUCCGCGUGCAGGAUGAAGGCCCUCGGGUUGUAAACUGCUUUUGUACGGAACGAAACGGCGCUGGUUAAUACCUGGCGCUAAUGACGGUACCGUAAGAAUAAGCACCGGCUAACUACGUGCCAGCCGCCGCGGUAAAAC
rnacentral:rRNA from 1 species